rnacentral:sRNA from 1 species
ACAAUAGCCUCACUACCAUCAAGCGAUACUGCUGCUUACGAGAAACAAGGGAUGCUGCGCACGCUGAUUAAAGUCACGUUCGGUUAUCCUGCGAUUUUUGACGAGGUUCGGCAGGAAUGCCAAAUCAACAAUGCGCAUGUUGUCGCCGGAUGUGGAUCCGGGUAUCAAAGCGUUUAUAGCCGUUGUCAGAGCUGCAGAACAUCAGUCAGAAAAAGCAGCGGACCAGGGUUCGUGUGCAGGAUAAGCGGGUGCAAAUCAACAGAAUUCGC